AUUUCUUCUUAUUGGAUUUUAAUCUACUCCUCUUUUAUUGCUUUAAAUAUGCAUGGUAUAUUAUUCAGCACAACCUAAAGAUUCUCUCUCUCUCUCUCAAAAUUUCUUAUCUUUCUUGUUUGUUUCAUUAUUUACCAACCUCUCUCUCAAUCAAACAAAACUGAAAAACCUCAGACUCAGAGGAUGUUCAUCUCUCAGAAAGAAGUGACAGGCACGUUCUCUUUCUCUCCCUCGAACUUUGCAGCCAACAACCUCUUCAAGUUGCUGGAGUUAGUCACGUAUUGGGAUUCAUGCACAUUGGUUAGUCACGUACUGGGAUUCAUGCAUCGAGAGAAAGAUUGUUGCUACAAUACAAGUCCAAUUGGGUAUUGAGGUAAGAGUUCAACUGAAGGUUGGUAUUUCGGGAUAGGCCAAAGGGUUUGGUAAGAUUUACUUAUACUUGUAACCGCUAGUGAUUGAUAAUAGUAGAUUCUUGGGAGUGGUGACCUUAAAAUCACUCGGUAGGGUUUUACCUCAGUAGUUUUCCCCAUUCGUAAACAAUCACCUGUGUCAAAUUUAUUUUCCGUUGCAUUUAGAUAAUUAGGUGAUUUGUUUGUGCUGCCACGUUGUUGCAUUAAAUUUGAUCUAAUUAAUUAACUUGAAUAAUUAAUUAAUUAAUUAAUUGCAAGGGUUAAUUCAUUUUAACCCAACAUGGUAAUAGAAUUUUGUUUAAAAUAAAUUAU